rnacentral:misc_RNA from 1 species
UUUUUUUUGAGAAAAAAAAAAAAAAAUUAAUUAUUUACAUUGAUUUCUACCAGUAUCGACAGAGUACAAUACAAUGUAAUCAUUCAUCAAGCCAGUCCAGAUUGAAUUGUUCCUCUGCAACCUGGACAUGAAGAUUAUUCUUCCUCACUUCCUUCCACAACCACGAAACCUCUUCAUCACAAAUUACACUGCGCAAAGAUUCUAAAGACUCGACUGAAG